CGGGUCGUGCCUAACUACAUGGCGAAGUCGGUACGAGGAAAGUUGGCCUUCGGCCGAUGAGUACAGUGGCGCGUACGGGUGAGUAACGCGUGGAUAAUCUGCCCUUAAGUGUGGAAUAACGUACCGAAAGGUGCGCUAAUACCGCAUAAAUGCCUGGCAACAUAAGUUGUCCGGCCAAAGAAGGCCUCUGCUUGCAAGCUUUCGCUAAAGGAUGAGUCCGCGUACCAUUAGCUAGUUGGUGGGGUAACGGCCUACCAAGGCGACGAUGGUUAGCUGGUCUGAGAGGAUGAUCAGCCACACUGGAAACUGAGACACGGUCCAGACUCCUACGGGAGGCAGCAGUGAGGAAUAUUGCGCAAUGGGGGCAACCCUGACGCAGCAACGCCGCGUGAGUGAGGAAGGUUUUCGGACUGUAAAGCUCUGUCGAGCGGGAAGAAGUGUACCAUGGCUAAUAUCCAUGAUAUUUGACGGUACCGCUAGAGGAAGCACCGGCUAACUCCGUG
rnacentral:rRNA from 1 species